rnacentral:rRNA from 1 species
UACGAGUGCCCCGAGCGUUAUCCGGAAUCAUUGGGCGUAAAGGGUGUGUAGGUGGUUGUAUUAGUCGGCUGUCAAAGCCUGGGGCUUAACCCCAGAUCCGCGGCCGAAACGGUACGACUAGAGGGUGCGAGGGAUGUGUGGAACUCGAUGGAGUAGGGGUGAAAUCCGUUGAUAUCAUGGGGAACACCGAAAGCGAAGGCAGCACAUUGGCGCAUUCCUGACACUGAAACACGAAAGCGUGGGUAGCGAAUGGG